UGGGGAAUAUUGCACAAUGGACGGAAGUCUGAUGCAACAACGCCGCGUGCGGGAUGACGGCCUUCGGGUUGUAAACCGCUUUUUCUCAUGACGAAGUUUUUUGACGGUAGUGGGGGAAGAAGCACCGGCUAACUACGUGCCAGCAGCCGCGGUGAUACGUAGGGUGCGAGCGUUGUCCGGAAUUAUUGGGCGUAAAGAGCUUGUAGGCGGUUUGUCGCGUCGAUAGUGCAAACUCAGUGCUUAACGCUGAGCCUGCUGUUGAUACGGGCAGACUAGAGGAAGGUAGGGGAGAAUGGAAUUCCCGGUGGAGCGGUGGAAUGCGCAGAUAUCGGGAGGAACACCGGUGGCGAAGGCGGUUCUCUGGGCCUUUCCUGACGCUGAGAAGCGAAAGCGUGGGGAGCGAACAGG
rnacentral:rRNA from 1 species